AUGAGUGUGUCCUAGAGAAAAUCUUGAAGUAGCAGUGUCAGAAGUGUGUGCAGGGUUGUGUUUCCAUGACAGUGACUGUCCGAAUUAUCAGAAAUGCUGCAGCAAUGGAAGUGGACAUCAGUGUAUGGAUCCAUAUGCAGAAAAGCCAGGAAUGUGUCCAAAAAACCUUGGAGAAGGACUGUGUGUUGAGGUGUUCUCAUGAAAGUAACUGAAAAUCAGAAAUGCUGCAGCAAUGGAUGUGGACAUCAGUUUAUGGAUCUAUCUGAAGUGAAGCCUGACUUAUGUCUCAAACAAAAUGUGUGCUGAUAACUCUUCCCAUGAUGAUCGGUAUCCUACCAGACAGAAGCGUUCCCCAACCACC